rnacentral:piRNA from 1 species
UGGCAAUGCUUCUUUCAUGGAGGUUCUGA